AAGAACCAGGGAGCCCGUGAGCAAUUAUCCACAAAGCCCUUGUCUCAGCAGUAACCAGCUUGCCUGGUAUUGGACCUCCAACACAGAGGAGAAAAUGUCACCUGUCACUGUUCCAGGCACAAGACAACUAUACUUUAGAGAUCCGCAGUUGGCCAACGAGAUGGCUGAGUGCGUAAAUGUGUCGGCCACUCGAAUCGAAUCGGAGCUCGAUUGCCAGAACCCGUGAUGGAGGGGGAGCAGCCACUUGUGAAAGCUGUCCUCUGACCUCUGCAGGGUCACUGUGGCAUGAGUGUACCCACACGCACAGACAUACAACAUACACACAUAAGCAGCACGUGCUGUUGGCAUUCUUUUGGGGGAGAAUCUGUUUAAAAAUCCAUUUAAUUAUAAGGACUUGGCCUAUUUCAUGUGGAAUGUGAAUUUCUGCCUUUUCUUAGAGGAGGGUCUAGUCUUAGCAUGACUACCUCCCUUGAGAGAGAUGGUGCGCUCACUCAGACCCCAAGUGCCAGCUCAUUAUUUUAUGGCACCUGACUCUGUACCACAGAGAAAUUCUCCAGUCCUUCUGCCGUGAAGGCUUUGAAACUCUGGACUGUAUAAACGGAGAAAGCAAGUAUUUUCUGUUAAUGCUGCCUCCAGUCAGGCCUCCCUGGUAUGUCUACUGCCACCUUCCCCAACUCUCUUUACAAAUGUUUAUUGAGCAGUAGUUUGGUACCAGGUGCAGGAGCUGCAAAAAGUGAAUGGGACAUUGUCCCCAGACAUUCUGACAGCUUGCCCUGUGCCAGGCUCUGUGAGAUUCGUACACACGCACAUUUGGUUUUGUGAAGCCCGCCCCCCCCAGCCCCCAGUGCUACAGGGUCAUUUAUUACCUUCAUAGGCAUGGCUCUCACACCAGUACCCUGCUUAGGCUCACAGAGCCGGAAAACAGAGAAACCAGAAGUUGGGUCUCAGACUGGCAAGCUGAGCCAACUGUCAACUGUGCCCACCCUAAAGUGGAUCGGGUGCCCCAGGCUAAGGGAACACUUCCCCCCUCCCACAGAACCAGUGGCCAUGGGCAGGGGGAAGGCAGGGCAUUCUCGUUUGCUUGCUGAUUGGAUCAGCACUUCCUCUCCUGAACUGGUAGAAGACAGAACUGGUGGUCUUUUCAUACGUUGCAGAAAGAUUCAUCUUGCAUAGCUCGCCGACCUCAGAAUUCUCCAGUUUGCCUAUGUCACCAACAAGGCACCAAGAACCUGAGAGAUUGCUCAAGGUGUUAAGCCCGGUAUGUGACGUCGGAGACUGGAAAGAAGGCUUUCAGAUUCCAGUCUAGCAUUUUCUGGCUAUAUCACAGGCUAUUAAUUUCCAAAUUGAGUGGAAAUCUAUAACCACCCACUUCUCCUGGCCUGGUGUGUACUCUGGCAUUAAGGGGAUUGGUCUAAAAGAAGGGCUUGAGUGUUUUCUAACUUGGGUGGGGGGAGGCAGUGCUGAGGGGAGCCCAGAAGGAUCUGCUGAAGAAUUUAGCAACCAGCAAAAGUGUUUUCAGAAUGAAAGAAACUGUGUCUCUCAGUGCCCAUCUCCACACUUGGACUUUAACAAUGUUUCAAAAGAGUUUGUUGAUUUGAAACCUGCGUUUGAAAUCCAUCCGUAAGACAGGAUUAACCCAAUGGACGACUUUGGGUGUUGAUAUAAGAGGUUCCUUUCUCACUGGAGGUGCUUCCCUAAGCAAACCUCCAUGUCUAGAAAUCUGACUUCUUGAGGUAGGCCAAUAGGGAAGCCAUGGUUGGUCUGGACAGGGAGUGGAAAUCUGACUGAUUUAGUUAGUUAGUUUUUAAGUCUUUCUGUUGAAACUAUGUAACGGUGACAGAUCACUUUCACAAACUUGGUAAAGCUUUUAGAAUUAACUACAGUAAGGGACAGCUUGCCACACACAUAAGCAUCUGUACAGACAAAUCUGCACCUCUGGCAUUGUACGGUUAACAACUAUGUGCUAGGCAUACUAUAACUAAAUUAACUAAAGGACUCUCAGUACCUCUGGUCAGAGUGACAGCUCCGGGACCUGACUUUGUUGGAUGCAAUGAUUUGGUUGGCCACCAUCUUUGACACUUUUUCAUGUUGUUUUUCCCCCCAUCAGUAAGGAAAAAAGUUCUUUUUAGAGACGGCUCGAGAAAUCGUUUCCAGAACGAGGGUGAGGAUCAGAGUUCAGAUUCCCCAACACUCACAUAAGAAGCUGGGCAGGACAGUUCGUCUCUCAUCCCAUCACUCAGGAGGCUGAGAUGGGCUUCUCAGGUCACACCAUUAGCUAGACUAGUUGAAGAGUCUGGGUUCAGCGAGAGAACCUGACUCAAUAAAUAACACAGAGAGGGACUGAGAAAGACAUUUGAUGUCAAUGUCUGACUCUCUCCACGUGUGCACAGUGUACAUACACCCAUGUUUGUGUACAUUGUACACACAUACACAUGCAAAAAUAGAAGUAAAACAUUCAUUCUGAUCACACCCCUUUGCUCCAUGUGCCGUGGGUAUACAUAGGUCUUUUUGGUCAGCCUUGAGUAAUUCCUUGUGGAAGAUGUCACACUGCAAUACUGGGAACAUCUUCAGAAAGCUGAGCUUUCAGAGGAAGUACUGCCUAGUCCCCCACAGGGCUUUGUGGACCUCACGCCAGCUCACCACUAUGCUACUACUGCAUUGAAUAUAAGGGCCAUUGCAAAAUGUGCAGGCUCUGUGUGUCAACACACAGCCAGCUCAGUGAGCCUCCCUACCCACACGGGGUAUUCAUGUUUAAACAUGAUAAUAAAAAUCGUUCACUGAGAACCUAGCUUGUGCAUAAGGCUGUGUGGUAACAAGCACGAUGUGCUUAACCUCAGCCAAGACUACAGAUUAUGCUUUACUGACCCAGAUCUGGACAUUUUGCUAAAGCCUCCGCUCUCUCCUCCUCUGUUGCGUGGACAUGAUGUUUAGACUGGUUCAUAAUCUUCAGGACUCUAAGAAAGCUCCCUUUGAUGUAAAUAAAAAAGAAAUCGCAAACCUGCCGCUUGGAGCCUCCCCUCCCACAUCUCUCAGUCUGUCAAACAUGUGUGGUGGAACUGUGUUGUUGCCCUGACUCCGGGCCAGAAUAAACAGUCUGGAGAGGGUGCAAACCCAGCUGCAGCAGAGGACAGAGGCCUUGCCUUGAGACCUUGGAGGGGGCUAACCCAGUGCAAAAGAAGCAAACCUCAUGGCCUGCUGGAGCUGUGUUUCGAUGCUAGACAGACUCCGUGGCUCCCGUUCUCCAUUUGAGAGAAUGAAUACUUCACAGUGAGCAGUGGGCCUCCCUCUCACCAAUCUAGAUUUGUUCUAACCUGCUCCAACAGAGGUCACGUGCAAGAAAUAUGGGUAUGUUCUUCACACAAGUGAGGUCAAAUUUUACCUAGGGUGGAGGCAGGCAUCAUCAAAAGAGAGGUAUCCUUUUUCAGCUUCCCGGUUAGCCUGGGCAGUGAUUGACAAGAGGCCUUGUCACUUGAACAAGUAUUCUGUUUUUUUCAACAACAACAGCAACAGCAACAAAUCUGCAUUUUUAUUAUUCCUAGAUUAGAUCCAGAAAUUUCUAGCACACAAAAGGGAGGAAUACUUUCUCAGGUGAGGAGGAAUUGGAGCAGCGCUAGACAGCAGCGGGGAUGGGGAGUGAGCAACAGGGCAAGCACUCUAGGGCUGCCGUCCUGGCAACUCCUGCUGAUCCCUGCACCGGUGCUGGCUACCACGGAAGACCCUGUGAACACGAUGUGUGUCACAGAUAGAGUAAACUCAUUUCCUGAAUUAUGCAGGGCGGCCACACAGUUCAGACACAAGAAAUACAACUGUGGGGCAGCCGGGGCUGCUCUGCGGCUGCAAGCGCCAGGCCGGAAAUGAGUGUGUGUCACUCCUACUUCACAGCACCAGGCGGGGCUGACAGGAAACGCUUUUUGAUGUGCCACUCGCUUGAUUGAUGGCAUGUCAAGGUCAGCUUCUUGGAGGUAUUGCAAUUAAAGGAGGGGGUGUGCGCACUUCAUGGCUGUCUCUGAGUUUAAGGUUGGUAAAGUAAACAGAGGGGUCCCUCCACCUUCUUUUUCUUUUUGGUCUUCGUUUCAGAUCUAGAAGUAUAAAUAACUAAAAUUUAGGUUGAGAUCGCUUUGAAUUUCAAGGGAACCUUUGCUCUGGGCAGCCAAGUGCGAGUUACAUGGUUUUUCUUCAUUCCCCCAAACUGCUGGGCUCCUUUGAUGAGUGAAAAUGAAAGCUUUGUAACACAGUCUCUCUCCUUUGAUAGUUGGAAGCAGGAGCUGAUAGAAAGAGUCAGGAGGAAAAUGCACUUGGCUUACGUGAUGUGGGGUCAACAAAAGUCCACGGAGACCAGGAUGGAAUGGGUCACCAUGGAGAUCAGAGCACUGCCCAUUUUUGGGGAUGGAGGCUAACUGGUCAGUAGCCUGCCACGGGACAGGUAGAAAUGUCACACGGAUGGCUCUCAAGCCCAUAGAUUCUAAAGACGAGGGCAGCCUGCUGGAGUGACUCCUUCUUGUGCAACUCAACUACCCAUCUUGGAACCUGUUAAACCAGAUACGGCUGUGCAAGACCUGUUUCUCCUGUGACAGGAGGGCUUCACUGACCAUGAAAGGAAAAGCUUGCUGCUUGCCUGGUCCCAGCUUGUGGAAUCCAUAUCACAGCAUGAAGGCUGACCUUUGAACUCACCUUUCCCUGGGGAGCCUAAACCUCUAUCUUACUGCCUUCCACCCAGUUAAAACAUGGGCCCAGUCACUGCCCUGGCUCUGGUUUCUUAAGAUCCCGAGGGUCCUGAAUCUUUUAGAAAGAAUGAACAGAGUGGAGAAGAGUCAGGAGGACAUGUGCAGGUACUCACGUUCCAACUCCCCUCAGCACGCCAUCUUUCUCUGCUAUCUCUUGAUUUCCCAGCAUUGUUGUAGAAUUAGUUAUUUCAUCACAUAGAAACUUGGAAUAACGACAUACUCUCUAGAGGGUACGGUGGUGGUGGCGGUUAACGUCUAUCUAAAGAAAAGUUCCUGGCUUUUAUUUUGGUCGCUUAGUUUUGAAGGGAUUUUGAAAAUAUACUUUAUGGAAAGAUACCAGUGAGGUCUAACUUCACUCCUGAAUCGCACUGGUGUUUCCUUCUCAGCAAGGAGCCUCAUCAGUCACUGGGAGCAGUAAAUAGGCAGACGUCAUUCCAGCAUUCCUGCAGGAUUGGGCUAUGGAAUGCAAGCGCAAGUCGGACUGUCCACACCUACCAGGCCUAAUAAAUCAGCGCCCUCUGGAUGUCACAGCAAGGAGACUUUAUUGGGUGCCACCUGUAAUCACUCAAUUAAAAACAAAUAAAGGAUGCAUGCUUACAUCUCGGCCCCUCGCACUGAAAACAGCUGCGCUGUUCACAUCUGGCUUGGCUACACUAUGAUCCUGGUAUUUUAAUUGUAGAAGGUGAGCCUGUUUGCUGCCAUAGAAUUAAGGCAUUUUUGUCCUCCAAUUAAGGGCAGCUAUGCACUAAUGGAAAAGGUCUACGUGCUCCCUCAUAUAAAGAGACCAUCCAAUGUGUCUGCGCAGUUGCCCCAAAUGGUCAAGCUUUUGGAUUUUAUGCUUGGUCCUUACGGUUGCCGUUCACAGCAAGAUAAUGUUAAUAUUACUAGAGAUUAGAGACACACAGAACUUUAGUAUUUCAGGGCUUGAAACUUACAUACAUUUUAUAUACUAUAAACUAUAUACUAAGCAGGAAGUUCUGUGUGUAUACUUGCUUGUGUGUGUGUGCUGAUGCACACGCAUCUCACAGAGGGUUUUUAAAGGAUCACUGACAAGAACUUGGCAGUCACAUGGGUGGAAUGGAAAGAAAAGCUGUGGAAAGCAAGGUUAGGAACCUCUAGAGAGCGAGUCUGGCAACAUGACAAACCUCAAGUCGAACCCAGGAUGGUCUCUGAAUGCCUGAGAUCUUCGCUGGUCUUCUGGUCAAUACUGCCUACCAUGCAGGGACUUAGAGGGGUUAGGGAACGGUCAGAAAAGUAGGUGCUUUAGCAGUGUUAAAAUGACCCAAAGCCUUCUCCUCUUGCCCUCAUGCCACUGUCACUUGAUGACUCAAUCAUUGCUCCUGAAGCCGAGACACUUUCCCCACCUUUAACAUUCUAUGUGCUUAUGAUAAUAAUAGGUGGAAAGGUUUUUAAGAAUCAUUGGAAACCUCAUCACACAAAUAUAAGACGAACAGUGUAAGCAUUUUGAGGUAUUUCAACUUUAUCACCGUCUUGUGCCUACACAGUCUCUCAAAUAUAAUGGCACCGUCCUGUGAGUACCAAGUACUGUCCUUCCUUCAUGCCACACGGUACACAUCACAUACCCACUCGUGUCAUUACAUGCUUCUGAAAGCAUGCUCUACUGGUUUAUGUGUGUGACGUCCUUCACACUGGAGCAUCACAACUUAUUUGUUUAUUUAUUUGUGUGUGUGUGUGUACGUGUGCGUGUGCAUGCAGCUGGAGUUAUGGGUUCUCUGAGUGGGCUCUGAGAAUGCAAUUAAAAUGCUUAAGAAGAGCAGGAUGUAUUCUUAACUACUGAGCCAUUUCUCUGGCUCCCAACGUCUUAUUGUUAGAUCGUUAGAUCUGGUUUUGCCCUGCAACUGAAAACUAUAAUAAGAACAUUACAUUAGCUUCUAUGAAACUGGCAUCCAUCUAUGUAUGUAUGUAUGUAUGUAUGUAUGUAUCUAUCUAUCUAUCUAUCUACCUACCUACCUACCUAUCUUAUUUGAAUGGCUUAUGACAUACAGGUAUUCUUUCAUCAAGAAGUUGAGGAAAUGAAGAUAUUAAAGAUUUGUGCUAUAAACAUAUCACAAGAACACAAUCUGAUAAGAUUUCACAGCUCUUAUCAUCAUCAACCACCAGGGCCACAGUCAAGAUCCAGAAUUUGUCCAUCAGUUGACCAGCUAUGGACAUUUUGAAGGCUCAUGUCAUACAACAUUAAUUUACAUUAAAUUACUUUUAGCCAGGAAUGCUAUCUCAUGCCUGUAAUUCUAGCACUUGGGAGGUGGAGACAGGAGGACCAGGAAUUCAACACUUCUUUGGCUACAUACUGAGUCUGAGGCCAGCUGGAACUGCAUAAGAGCCCAUCUCAAAAACUCCAAACUAACAAUGAGAGCAAUAAGUUAUUAAUUAAGCAGCAUAUUAAUAACAUAUCCAUACUCUUUCCCCCCCCCCAGGUUAUAUAGUGGGCUACUAAGGUGGCAUUUCCUUGCCCUCUUCCCUUCAGGGGCUUCUGUACUGCUUAACAGUUGCUCAUAUAAUAAUAAUAAUAAUAAUAAUAAUCGAAAAUGUACUCAUUCUUAAUAUGAAUAUCUGCUAUGACUUGUUCUCUAAACAGCCUGUGCUAAUAGGAAAAGGUAGAAACUUUAAGUAGGAAAGUGUAUAGCAGUUCUGAAUCUGUGGGUCACAGCCCCUUCCAGGGUGGCAUAUCAGCUAUCCUGCGUACCAGAUAUUUAAUAAUUAUUCGAAACAGUAGUAAAAUUACACUUAUGAAGCAGCAAGAAUAAUGACUUUAUGGCUGGGGGUCAUCACGCCAUGAAGAACUAUAUCAAAGGGCUGCAGCAUCAGGAAGGCUGAGAGCCACUGGCUUGGAGGGAGGUCUUCGUGGGUGUUCAGGAGACCUUGGGAGUCUGUUCUUCUCUUUUGUUUCCUUGCUACGAGGUGACCUACUUUGACCUGCAGGUGCUCUCGCCAUGAUGUGCUGACACUUCCAAUCUGAUAUCUGAUCACGGGCUAAAUAAAGCCUUGAGCCCAAACAAACCUUUCUACUUGUCAGUAGUUGACCAUCUCAGGUAACUUUAAUAGUAAAAAAGAAGCUAACUCAAGAAUAUUAUUACUGAGGUUUGAUUUAUUUUUCAGUCUCUUAUUGAGUACUUGAAUAACUCACAAGAUCAUGUAUUGAUAAUUACAAUAUGAACACAGUGCCAUAUAUAACUGCUACUUACACAUAUUUAAACAUGCUUAAAGUUUGAGCUAAAUAAAUCUGUGAUGGCUCUCUGUGAUGGCUUGAUUAGGUUUGGCCCCAUUGACUCACUUGUUUGAAUGCCUGGCCCUUGGGGAAUGGCACUAUUAGGAGGUGUGGCCUUAUUGAAGGAAGUGUGUCACUGUGGGCGUGGGCUGUGAAGUCUCUAUGCUCAUGCUCCACCCAGUGUGUAAUUCCAGUCCCCUCCUGCAGAAGACAAUCUUCUCCUGGCUGCCUUUGGAUCAAGAUGUAGAGCUCUCAGCUCCUCCAGCACCAUGUCUGCCUGC
rnacentral:sRNA from 1 species